CUUUGUUACACCACGAGGGAGCGAAUGAAUGUUGACAGUAGCAGCAUCUAUUUAAAAUCUGCAUCACAUCUGGUGCCUCUCCGAGGCAGACCAUAACUGAUCAAUCAGAAUUAUGGCUCUUCGGUCUCCAGACGAGUUAGGAGAAAUUCAUUAUCUGUUUUGAAGCCUGCUUCUCUUUCAUCUAUUAAAAAUGAAAUAAGAUUCAUUGUCACUGGAUCCAUUUAGCUGCUGAUAGGGGGAAAAAAAAGGACGGUAAUUAAACUAACUAGCAGGCUCCAUAUCUGAAGACACGAUUAAUUCUCUGAAACACUGUGCAUGUAGGUACUUGGCCUGCACCAGCCUUCAGUUCCUUAGCUGACAAAAUAAAUAGCCUAGGAUUGUAUUUCAGUACCUGAUUAUUUGAUGAAGUCUUGGGAACCCCCAAAUAAAUUUCUUCAGGCUCCGUCAGAAGUUGAUAUCUGCCUUUCAGUCACAGUUAGCCCUUGCACUGAGGAUGGCACAUGGGAGAUAUCACCUUGUGGACAGCAAUGUCCUCAUGGUGCCUCCUGCCCCAAGGAUGUCCUGGUCAUCUUAUGCAACCCCUCCUAGACCAGCAGUUCUGAAUGAUGAAAAUUGACACUGAAAUGCUGGGAAUUCUUCCAUACACGUGAGGUCUGUUGGAGUAAUACAUUCAAAACGAUGGUGAGAGCCUUGGCUUAUGAAUAACUAAAAGGACAUAAAAAAUUCUGGUCUGGACCAUUUAAAUUUCUUCAUGUGAUUUUUCUGAUUACAGAUGGAGUUUUUGUUGGUGCUGAUGAUUACAAAAGUCACAUAAUCAUGAAUUAGCCUCUGAAAUUCUUGUUAUUGAUUCCUCCUUUACCGUGUGUUUUCUCUGAGGUCUGCAAGAGCACAGCUCAGAGAGUGGCCUUCAAAAGCCAGUGAAAAGUAAAGGUUAAUGGUGAUGAAGGUGGAAAUGAUUGGUUUGUAUGAUUCCCAUACAAGUAAGUUAAAAACACAAAGUGUUACAAGACAGCCAGUUUCAAGAAGCUGUAUCAAGAACAAGCAAGCUAUAAGGAAGGACUGAAGACUAAAAAGAAGUUGUUUAC
ensembl:lncRNA